CGUGAGCAACCUGCCCCAGACUCUGGGAUAACUCCGGGAAACCGGUGCUAAUACCGGAUAUGUGACGCUUGGGCAUCUGAUGCGUCUGGAAAGAUUUAUUGGUCUGGGAUGGGCUCGCGGCCUAUCAGCUUGUUGGUGGGGUAAUGGCCUACCAAGGCGACGACGGGUAGCCGGCCUGAGAGGGCGACCGGCCACACUGGGACUGAGACACGGCCCAGACUCCUACGGGAGGCAGCAGUGGGGAAUAUUGCGCAAUGGGCGAAAGCCUGACGCAGCGACGCCGCGUGAGGGAUGAAGGCCUUCGGGUUGUAAACCUCUUUCAGCAGGGAAGAAGCGAAAGUGACGGUACCUGCAGAAGAAGCACCGGCUAACUACGUGCCAGCAGCCGCGGUAAUACGUAGGGUGCAAGCGUUGUCCGGAAUUAUUGGGCGUAAAGAGCUCGUAGGUGGUUUGUCGCGUCUGCUGUGAAAACUCGGGGCUUAACU
rnacentral:rRNA from 1 species